rnacentral:rRNA from 1 species
GACAGAGGAUGCAAGCGUUAUCCGGAAUGAUUGGGCGUAAGCGUCUGUAGGUGGCUUUUUAAGUCCGCCGUCAAAUCCCAGGCUCAACCCUGGACAGGCGGUGGAAACUACCAAGCUGGAGUGACGGUAGGGGCAGAGGGAAUUUCCGGUGGAGCGGUGAAAUGCGGUAGAGAUCGGAAAGAACACCAACGGCGAAAGCACUCUGCCUGGGCCGACACUGACACUGAGAGACGAAAGCUAGGGGAGCGAAUGGGAAUUAGAGUACCCGUUGUAAGUC